GAUGGGUGACGUCAUUAUAGACCUUUCUAUGUAAGUUCCGCCUGCAUAUGAUAAAAGGCGCAUCAGAUGACGUAGCAAUUGUGUGCACCUGGCUGUUUGGCGUGCUGCUACAAACAACCGCUUCUUACAACUGUUCUUCUGUGGGGUGACUAAUAUCGUGUAUGCCACCGAUUUGUCCUGGAUGUCGUGCAUUGUGUGUGUCUGGAUAUAGACUCUGUAAAGCAGCAGCGCAUUGGUGAUACGGUGCUGUUGGGCUAAAAGCACUGUAUCGUGCAUUUUCUUUCUACUAACCUAUUGCAUGCGAAGGCUUGGACGAUGUUUUAGCGAGAGCGGAGGAAAUAACGAAGGUGACAACAAGACGCUGUAAGCUUCGGCAAAAUACUGUUACGACGCUACCUUUCCAAUGUAAUGGAUGGGAACUAAGAGUUAAUUCACUUGCCAGCUUGUAACGAAAUGACCACUGUUUUUCCCAGUAUUAAAGUGUUUGGAUUGAUUGUAUUUCUUUUCUUUUACUUUGUAUUUUGAUGUGAUUGUAGUUUUGGUUGUUUCUUUCUUUGUUUUUUUUCUCUGCCUGGUUAACGGGCCAGCGUAUUAUAUCACUCCGGCCUCUAGAGGGUGGUGUGUGUGUGUAGUGAUAAAUACCUGCGUGGAUUUACUUGUGAGCACUGAGAGUGGGUUGCAUUUCUGAUAGAUGUGAUUUAUAAUAACACUGCUGAGAGUGACUAAAUUGUAUUCAGAGACUUGCCAUCAAUAACUAGGCCCGUUAUUCCGGUUGCAGCCAUUUUGAGUGUUUUGUGUAAUGUUUGUUUAAGUCUUUGUUCUGUUGAUUUAUUGUCAAACACUUCUAUUGUGAACAGUGUAUUUGCUGUUUUAAAUUUUUCUAAUAAAAGAAACCGUGUAUUGUUAUACUGUGUAAUUGUUCAUUAAAUUGAACCCCUGACGCGGGCAUAGUGCCCUUUUGAAUAUCUGGACGAAAAGUCUAUUGGGUAACAUUUGGCGUAGUCGGCAACGGAUUUAGUGGUGUGGUACACGGUUCCUUUUUUUUUAAGUUCUGGGAAAAACAGUGGUUGAAGAUCUGGAUUAUCAUCAGGAGUCUGGAGCAGGCUGAUGGUGUCUUCUGCUGUGAGCUGGGAAUUACUUCUUCCUGGAGUUCUGGAUUCUUCCUUUGAGUAGAGAUAUUGAUAUAUACAUUUGUUUUGUGUUUUUGUUUGGGUUUUGC